CAGCACUUUCUGAUUUUAUUUUGAAAUUCCAGAAUACAUAACAUUUUGCUCUGGAUGAGUGAUUUCUGAUUAUCAAGGAGGAAAAGGGACAUUUUCCAAUUAUUGAACCCAAUGAGUCAAGGAAAUGCCUCCCCAUUCAGGCACUUAAUUCCUGUUAUGGACAAGUUGUUCCUCUUAGCUACAAUGAACAUCAUGAGGAAAGCAGGCUCCUUGAUGGUACAGAGAUUAUUGAACAAGGCGGGAAGCUAUUGGAUAAGCAGAUCUUUCUUGACAAAAUCUUCUCUCAAAGAAUUUUGAUGACGUGAAGAGUGUCACCAACAAUGAGAAUCACUUCUUGUUUCAUUAUCACUGCUGGUUGUCUUUAGGGAAAAGGCUACAAUCCCUCAGAUGCAGGACAAAUUAGCAGUUGGACUGCUAAAGUUAAAUCAUAAAACAGCUGAAAUACCAACUCCUCAAAACUCUAAACAGACUGAUGACUGUGCCAUCACAAGCAUUCAUAUUUGCUUCCGCUCUUUCCUGGGAAAACAAGAAAAAAGGCCCGGAUUUCUGCUAACUGAAAAAACUCUUCAAUUCGGGGACAUUGGUGAUGGCUUUUUGUACUGAUUGAACAAUACCCCAAUAAAAAAAACCUGCAAAUCCA